AUUGAACGCUGGCGGCAGGCUUAACACAUGCAAGUCGAACGAGGUUAGGGAGCUUGCUCCUGAUACCUAGUGGCGAACGGGUGAGUGAUGCUUAGGAAUCUGCCUAGUAGUGGGGGAUAACUUGGGGAAACUCAAGCUAAUACCGCAUACGACCUACGGGUGAAAGGGGGCGCAAGCUCUCGCUAUUAGAUGAGCCUAAGUCGGAUUAGCUAGUUGGUGGGUAAAGCCUACCAAGGCGACGAUCUGUAGCUGGUCUGAGAGGAUGAUCAGCCAUACUGGGACUGAGACACGGCCCAGACUCCUACGGGAGGCAGCAGUGGGGAAUAUUGGACAAUGGGCGAAAGCCUGAUCCAGCCAUGCCGCGUGUGUGAAGAAGGGCCUUUUU
rnacentral:rRNA from 1 species